GAAGCGCGUCAGGUGCAAAGAAAACCUUUUUUUUUCCUAGUAAAUGAAGUAUAAAUAAUGGAUGAUUCUAUUCCAUUUAUUUAUUCUCGUAAUAAUUUCAUCCAAGUGAAUUCCACAGCAUUAGAGAAAAUGAACUCCUUCUCAGUGAUGAUAUUGAUCAUGUUUUUCCUUCAAUGUUAUGCCGAAAGAGAAAUUGUACCCCAAGAACCCGUUGAACAUAAAGAAUGCGGACCCAAUGGAGGACUUGAUUGCUUGUUCAAAUCCCACCCAGGUUUGUUUGUUUUUUUAAUUAUUGU